rnacentral:lncRNA from 10 species
CUGGAACACAGUCACCAGCCUCCUCAACAGAUGAGCUGCAACUCCCCUGCAAAGCAACUAACCAACCAUUCUAAAUUGAAGUCAUCAAAGAAAGUUUUCUGCUUAAAAUGAACUUCAAAAAGGCAUGCUCUGGAUAGGAGAUGCUUCUUGAGCCUGGACAGCAAAAAGAUGUGAAGCAGAUUCGAGCUAACCUGCCGUAGCCAAAAUACAGGUCCAAGGAAUGAAGCACUGCAUCUUUUGGAUGCCUACAUAGAUUUAUGGGUCAUGACCUCCCUCCCCCAUUCUCAUGGCCAGCUGCUGCACCUUUGCCACACUGCAAUUAAAAACCCGCAAUCCAGAUAACAAAACUACCUUGCCAACUGU